AGCAUGGAGAGAGACGUUCUUGUGGUGGAGUGGAAUGUGAAAUUCUCUAGUGCAGUCUGGGCAGGUUCUCUUGCGUCACAGCACAAGUCUCGAACUAGUUUCUCAGUCAUUAUCAGUAACAUCUGUCAGAGCCACACUUGAGGACUGUCUAUUUUGAGUGUGUAUUCCUCCAUUGCAUCUACUAGCUACCUUGGCUAACAGCAUACAAGAAAUGAAGAGGUAUGCCCUCUCAGAUAUGAAAUCACCUUUGCACGCCAUCAAGCUCAAGAGCUACAUUUUCCUCUAAGUUUUCGAAAAAAUUGGCAUCUUGUGCUUGAUACUGGAUUUGGUGUCAUUACCGUAACCCUUCUUCUGGAGCAAACUUCGGCUGCUAGGCGACAGCACCAGCUCGAACUUACAUUCGUUGAUGUUUGUGUUGGAAGUAGGACCCAUGGAUGCGAGUCGAGGAGACCAGAAUGAGAUAAGAUAAUGGCUCCCCUCAGCGGCCUCCUGAAGAAGCACCCAUUACUUGUAAUUCGCUCUGGGGAAUGACAGGGGAUCCCCUGUGCUCCCAGGGGAAAGGGCAGGAUACCCCUGUGCUCCCACGGGAAAGGGCAGGAUACCCCUGUGCUUACAUGGGAGUCUAAGAUCUUCAGUCCCGUCCCUCCGUCCCCGCGCGUCUGGCAGCUAUAAGGUUCGGUUGGCGGACUUCCGGCUUCUCGGUUGUUCUUUUUUUUAUUUAUUGUUUAAAUCAAUUUUAUUUAAUUUAAUUUAUUUAUUUUCCCACACUUUUGAAGUGCCUCACAGCCGAGAGAUGCUUUGGAGCUAAAAAAAUUGUACAAACUACUACUAUAAUUUUCACACUACUACAUUCACUACUACUAUUUACUAACGCAUUUU